AACUAAUAAGUUUGACCUGGUAGGACUUGUAGAGACUAAGGUUAAACAACACAAUGCUGGUAGAAUAGCUAGUUUUUUGUUGCCUAACUGGAACAUGAUUACUAACUACAGUGGAGCAGUAAAUGGGAGGAUAUGGAUCAUGUGGGACCCUACAAAAGUGUUGGUCACUGGAUAUCUUGAGGAAGCUCAGCUCAUUCAUUGUAAGGUUCAAACUAUCACUGGGGAUAUUAUCUGCUGGCUUACAGUAGUAUAUGGCUUUAAUGACUGUGAUUAGAGGAGGAUGCUGUGGAAGUCUAUUCUAAACUUAUCGGCUGGUAUUACUGACCCCUGAAUCAUUGCAGGAGAUUUUAAUGUCAUACUGUCUAGCAAGGAAAGGCAAUCCUGCCAACAAGUGAAGCAAAGGGACCUAUUUGAUUUUAAUAAUUGCAUUCAGCAAUCAGGCCUGGUUGAGCUUCCAUGGAAGGGAAAUUUUUUUACCUGGUCUAAUCAACAAAGUGGUGCUGAUAGAGUAUGUAGUAGACUGGAUAGGGUAUUUGGCAACUUUGAAUGGCAGAUGAAGUGGAAUCAUGUGCACACUGUAUAUGGACCUCCCCUCAUCUCUGAUCACAAUCCCAUGUUACUAACCCUGACAACAGAUACAUCUGCAAGGAAGACACCAUUCAGAUUCUUCAAUGCUUGGAUCCAGCAUAAGGAAUUUCCUGCUAUGAUAAAAAUUUACUGGAAAAGCAAGGAGCAGAAUAAUCUAUAAGGAGUAUGGUGCUAUGAUAAAAACUUACUGAAAAAGCAAGGAGCAGAAUAACCUACAAGGAGUAUGGAACAAUCUUAAAUCCCUCAAACCACCCUUAAAAUCUCUUAAUGUUAGAGAAUUUAAGAAUAUUUCUCAAAAGAUUGAAAGUAGUAGAAAGGAACUGGAAGGUGUACAGCAUCAAAUGGCAAUCUCCUAUUCAGACACAUUACAGCAAAGAGCAAAAGUCCUGGUUCAACAGCUAGAAAAGUGGUCCUUAAUUGAAGAGUCAGCUUUGCAGCAAAAGUCAAGAGCUAAAUGGAUCAAACUUGGUGACUCCAAUAACAAGUAUUUUUCAGCAGNN
rnacentral:lncRNA from 1 species